CAGGAGCCGUAGAGCCGCGAUGGUCCCCGCGUCUCCACGAGCCGAGUCCUCCAUCUCUCCUCGUGAACGCAGACCGCGUUAGUAGCUCGGGCCGGGCGGUUUACCGCGGACUGUAUCGAGACUGUAUUGAUGGGUAAUGGUACGCCAUGCAGAUCUUGUGGUGUCGGCUUAACGUGGCGUAGACUGUUACAUUUUAAUAAUAAUAAUAAUAACAACUUAAACGAAUGCUUUACAGUGGUUCGCGUCAUUCGUAAUGAAGGGGAAUUAAGGUCAAGCAUUUGCAUGACAAAAACUAUAACGGGGUGACUCAGGGUAAAAAAAAUGCACAAAUUGGGGGCAACCUCAGGGCUGCCCAGCGCGACAAGGAGACGCCCAACACGACAGCAGGGAACGUUCAUUGUCUUGAUUUACAACGAUUGUUUGCAGAACCGCGUCCACCCCGCGAGUCGCCCGUCCUGUAUUUUGAUUUUGAUGGCGCGGGGGGUGGGUGGUGGUGGUGGUGCGGUGCUGCGGAAGAGGGGGGCGGGGGGGGGGUAAAUUCUGGGCGAGAAACAGCGGCGGUGGUAGCCGCGGCGAAUUUUCGCAGGUUCCAAAAUCCAACAUGGACGUUCCGCACCCACCCCCAGCAGCAGCUCCCCCGUUCGACUCCAGACUCUCCGCUGUUGCACAGGAGGUGACUAUGUAGUCCUUAAGAAUCGAAUUUGUGGAUUCCAGAAGCCAGCACAAAUUCGAGUCCACAGGGUAUACAUCGGCCACCCUUAUCAGCGGGCACGGCGCGAGAACGCAAUGCGUCUCCCGACGGCGGGACGGCAGACAACUAGAUUUCGGGUUUGGGGGGCUGUAAGCCCCGCGAGGUGUGGGUUUCAUUCGCUCGACGGCCACCUCCCCCCCCCCCUGCCCCCCCCCCCCUCGGUGCCAUUUCGUUCAUUCGCUCGCGGGGUAACGCAGCCUCGAAUGAAAUUCAUGGCUGCGUCCACACGGGCGGUGAUGGUGAUAGCGUUGAGUCAUCGUAGAUUGUUGACAACUCAGAGCGCGCGGGUUGUGGGAAGGAGGGGGGGGGGCAUGAUAACGCGACCCGCGCUGCUCGUCUUGCCGGAGAUGUCUGACUACAAAUAUCUAAAGCACCCUCGUCAAGGUUCGCCCGAAUAAUUACAAUGGUACGCCCAGACGUAAUUUUGGCAAGAAGGGACAGUUUGGUGCUUGCGCGUGAAUAAUAACUGUGUUUGCCUUUGUGUCUUCAUAGCGUGUGUCUGUCUCUUUGGUUUGGACGUGCCCGUAAACAUAUUUGUGCGUACACUGUUGCGUAUAUAUCGUGUACGUAUGUGUGUGUAUUUUUUCUGCUUGGACCGUCUUUCCUCUUGUGCGCGUGUCUUUCGUUGCUUGUCUCUCGUUGUGCAAACGCGUAUCUGUCUGUGUGCGUUGUGUGUGUCUGUUUGUCUUUGUCUAUCUGGCUUUGUGUGUGUGUCUGCGUGUGUCUGUCUGCGUGUUUGUCUGUCUUCGUCUGUGUACAAAGCCUGCCAUUUAGGUCGACCAUUUGUCUGCUUUUUUGUGUUUAGUCUGUUGUGUCCCCCCCCGCACCUCCGAUGAGCACGGUUGGCUACGUACGGUGCGAAAGAAGUUCGACGUACAUACAGACAGUCGUGGACGCGCGCGUCUCUCUCGCUCGCUCGCUCUCACGCGUAGAUGUACGGCGGGUGCCAGCAUCAUAAUGGGAAGAGGUCAGGGCAGAAGGGAGUCGUAACGAGUGCAUAAUGAAUAAUUCCUUUAGCACGCCGAGAGCUUUACGAGCUCCACGGCCCCGCCGCCUUGAUAAGCGAAGGGCGGUGCGCGGAGAGGGCUGCCCGCUCGCCCCGCUCGCUCGCUCGCUCCGCCGGAGAUAAAGCGCGCUCCGUGGCCAAAAGUUCAGAGCGCGUCUCAUCUCCCGGGCGCGCCUUGGACAUGACCCCGCGCUCUGUGCACGGUGGCUGCGUGCGUCCUUUGUGUGCGCGACCGUGUCGUGUCGCGUCGCUCAAUGAGACCCGCAUGUUCCGCCCGGGGGGACGACGACAACGACGACUCCCACCUCCGACCCCCCCCCCCCCCAGCCACGGCUUCCUCCGGCGGCGCAACCGUGCGCCCUGCGGUGGACGUGGCGUGAGGAACCGUGGGGGGUGGGGGGGGGUACCCUGGGACGAGCGAGCGGGGCACCGCAUUCAUGCGGCGCCCAUCGGCACGUGAUCAGAAAGACGCCGCAAUUAAUGACCGAGGCGACAGGCCUCGCGGGGAGGAAGGUGGCGGUUCAGGUAACCUACAGCCCGUGUCUCGUGCUGCUCACUCCGUUGUCCGUCUCGUUGUGUUUCUUACAGGGAGCGGCGCGCGGCCACGGCAGGACGCGCUUUUUUGUGUCCAGUUGCCACGGGCUCACAGCUCCGCGUGCCCCCCCCCCCCACCCCCGCUUCACUCCACCUCCUCCUCCACCCGACCUGCUCCGCUCCCCCCACUGCACGAAGGAGCACCCCGGUUUCACGGGCCGAGCCUGCUGCUGCGAGUGGUAUCGGACUGCCCCCCCCUCUCGCUGUCUCAACGUCGUCGUGAGGUGCCGUAGCCGAACGCGUCUCAACCCGAGGCGCCUCGCGCGCGCUCGACCGAUUGUUCGUUUGCGCGCGGCUCCACGCAACAACAACAACAACGACGACGACAACAACAACAACCCAAACGCAACCCACCCGCACACAACGCUCCCCGGUGACGUCUAUCUACGGCUCAUGCGUGACAUAGCCAGAAUGUUACGUCUCGCACAACAAGAUCGUCCCCCCACCCCCUCCCCACAACAACAACAAUAACCUGCGUCCACAUCCCCAACAAACAAACAAAUAAACGAAAAUCGCGACGGCUCUCAAACGCAACGUGGUCUGUGUGCGAGCGCUCUUGCAGAGGCGCUCGACUCGAGCCCCGAACCGCGCGUCCCGCUUUCGAUUCAUCGUCGCACGCAAAAAAAAAGCCAUCCGGUGUGGGUGGAAAUCGUUAAUUUCCUCGCUCUCCUAUCUCGAUUUCCUUCCAAACUCACACGCCUGUGUGUGUGUGUAUACAUUGUUACACAAAAUAGAAAAAAAAUAUCGAAGCCCGGUUGUGACAGCGGUGGCGACGCGGGCAAAAAGCCUCCGAUAAGGAGCAGCAGCGGUAGGAGCGGGAAGAGGAGGAGGAGGCGUCGCUCGCUGUUGGCUUUUCUCAAGCGCUGUGCAAGCGGCGCCGAGCUCGGAUAACCGGCGCAAUAGCGACAUGGCGCGGCUGUACGGGAACUCGCAACGCCACCGCCACUCCUCGUGAGCGCUCCCAUCCCGCCUCCCCCUCCUCCUCCCUUCCUGUGCCCGCCGCCUCGCGUGGCCGCGCGGCCAUGCAGCGCUGCAAAGCGCUCGGUUAACAUCGUGAGCCGGGAGGUGUUCCCGUCGAUUUUCGCAACGACAACACCGCAUGCGCAAGCCUCACGGAGCAGGGCGACUAUGAUGAUGAUGAUGAUAUUUUUGUUGUCGUUUCUCGCGAAAUGGCAACGAUGGUUAACGCGACGUGCACGCUGCGAAGACAGAUGCGUUAAAAUGGCGCGCGCGAUUUUGUUCUUUACGUUGUGUCGAAGAAAGCCCGUAAAAUGUACCGGGUUGCUCAGCCAUCGAUUGUGUCGUUGUUGGUUGUUGUUGUUCUUCAUUGUUAUUACGAUUCCCCUCGACCGCAGGGGUUUGCUCGGCGCGAUUAAUUUACGUGGCAGGUGAUGUCCGGUAUUAGUUGUAAAUAUAUAUGUAUAAUAAUGUAUAACGAGUUGAGUCGCUGGACGGGGGGCACUUAAAGAGACGGUGUGAUUAUUUGAAUAGGAAUGCAUGAAUAAAUGAACGACUUUAAAAUUG